rnacentral:rRNA from 1 species
UACGUAGGGGGCUGGCGUUGUCCGGAAUCAUUGGGCGUAAAGCGCGUGUAGGCGGCCAGGUAGGUCUGCUGUGAAAACUCGAGGCUCAACCUCGAGAUGUCGGCGGAAACCAUCUGGCUAGAGUCCGGAAGAGGAGAGUGGAAUUCCCGGUGUAGCGGUGAAAUGCGCAGAUAUCGGGAAGAACACCCGUGGCGAAGGCGGCUCUCUGGGACGGUACUGGACGCUGAGACGCGAAAGCGUGGGGAGCGAACAGG